GAAUGCCACCUCCAUGGGAAACUGCGCCGCAUCGGAAAGCUCAUGGGUAGGAGUCCCGACGUGAACCCAGACGCCCUGGAAGAGUUUAAGAAAUUCAUACAGCACAAGGGAUUCCUGGAGGACAACAUUUUCAUACCCACGCAGAUGGAAAGCUGCGUUCCCCAGGGAGAUUAGGCAGCCACCGUGGCUGCACCUCCGGAGCCCGCCCUGCUGCCGGACACAGA